GCGAGACACAAAUGGAUUACCUUUCACUGUGUAACGUAAAGAUUUAUGUGUCCAAUCACCUUUAUUUGGAAUACCGAUUCGUGGACUAGCAAUAAUAUCUUUAGGAUAUUUACGAUUCUUAGUAUCAA
rnacentral:sRNA from 1 species